UACGUAGGGUGCAAGCGUUGUCCGGAAUUAUUGGGCGUAAAGAGCUCGUAGGCGGUCUGUCGCGUCUGCUGUGAAGACUCAGGGCUUAACCCUGAGCUUGCAGUGGGUACGGGCAGACUAGAGUGUGGUAGGGGAGCGUGGGAAUUCCUGGUGUAGCGGUGAAAUGCGCAGAUAUCAGGAGGAACACCAGCGGCGAAGGCGGCGCCUCUGGGCCGGUACUGACGCUGAGGAAGCGAAAGCGUGGGUAGCAAACAGG
rnacentral:rRNA from 1 species